UACGUAGGGUGCGAGCGUUGUCCGGAAUUAUUGGGCGUAAAGGGCUCGUAGGCGGUCUGUCGCGUCGGGAGUGAAAACUCAGGGCUUAACCCUGAGCCUGCUUCCGAUACGGGCAGACUAGGGGUAUGCAGGGGAGAACGGAAUUCCUGGUGUAGCGGUGAAAUGCGCAGAUAUCAGGAGGAACACCGGUGGCGAAGGCGGUUCUCUGGGCAUUACCUGACGCUGAGGAGCGAAAGCGUGGGGAGCGAUCCGG
rnacentral:rRNA from 1 species